GAUCGGGGCGGCAUGCUCGGCGGAAAUAUCGCCGGCGUUGAAGGCGUCGGCGAUCUCGGGUUGCCGGCUCAGCAUCCGGCCCAAUGC
rnacentral:tRNA from 1 species